AUCCCCACCCAAAGCCUGAUGGCACCCCGGCUGGCCAUGCUGUCCCCUCCCUGUGGCGUUUCUUAGCAGAUGGCUGCAGAGCUUCGUUGAUGGUCUUUUCUGUACUGGAGGCCUCCUGAGGCCAGGAACGUGCAAAUUUGCAGGUGCUGCAUCCCAAGCCCCUCAUGCUCCUGCCUUCCUGAGGGCCAGAGGGGAGCCCCAGGACCCAUUAAGCCACCCCCGUGUUCCUGCCGUCAGUGCCAACUGCCGCAUGUGGAAGCAUCUACCCGUUCACUCCAGUCCCACCCCACGCCUGACUCCCCUCUGGAAACUGCAGGCCAGAUGGUUGCUGCCACAACUUGUGUACCUUCAGGGAUGGGGCUCUUACUCCCUCCUGAGGCCAGCUGCUCUAAUAUCGAUGGUCCUGCUUGCCAGAGAGUUCCUCUACCCAGCAAAAAUGAGUGUCUCAGAAGUGUGCUCCUCUGGCCUCAGUUCUCCUCUUUUGGAACAACAUAAAACAAAUUUAAUUUUCUACGCCUCUGGGGAUAUCUGCUCAGCCAAUGGAAAAUCUGGGUUCAACCAGCCCCUGCCAUUUCUUAAGACUUUCUGCUGCACUCACAGGAUCCUGAGCUGCACUUACCUGUGAGAGUCUUCAAACUUUUAAACCUUGCCAGUCAGGACUUUUGCUAUUGCAAAUAGAAAACCCAACUCAACCUGCUUAAGCAGAAAAUAAAUUUAUUGAUUCAAGUUUGG
rnacentral:lncRNA from 10 species